GGUUAAGCGACUAAGCGUACACGGUGGAUGCCCUGGCAGUCAGAGGCGAUGAAGGACGUGCUAAUCUGCGAUAAGCGUCGGUAAGGUGAUAUGAACCGUUAUAACCGGCGAUUUCCGAAUGGGGAAACCCAGUGUGUUUCGACACACUAUCAUUAACUGAAUCCAUAGGUUAAUGAGGCGAACCGGGGGAACUGAAACAUCUAAGUACCCCGAGGAAAAGAAAUCAACCGAGAUUCCCCCAGUAGCGGCGAGCGAACGGGGAGGAGCCCAGAGCCUGAAUCAGUGUGUGUGUUAGUGGAAGCGUCUGGAAAGGCGCGCGAUACAGGGUGACAGCCCCGUACACAAAAAUGCACAUGCUGUGAGCUCGAUGAGUAGGGCGGGACACGUGGUAUCCUGUCUGAAUAUGGGGGGACCAUCCUCCAAGGCUAAAUACUCCUGACUGACCGAUAGUGAACCAGUACCGUGAGGGAAAGGCGAAAAGAACCCCGGCGAGGGGAGUGAAAAAGAACCUGAAACCGUGUACGUACAAGCAGUGGGAGCACAGAGCAAUCUGUGUGACUGCGUACCUUUUGUAUAAUGGGUCAGCGACUUAUAUUCUGUAGCAAGGUUAACCGAAUAGGGGAGCCGAAGGGAAACCGAGUCUUAACUGGGCGUU
rnacentral:rRNA from 1 species